CAAAAGGUAAGGGUUUAAAAAAUAGAAAUAGCUGUGUAUUAUACUAUCACAAUAGUGGGGAGUGUAUUAGUUAGUGGGGAAAUUGAGAAGGAACCAGAGUUGCCAGGUACUUGGGGAAUAAAUAUAAGGUAGCACCACUGCUUCCUUCCCUUCCCCCAAGCAGAGCUAUUAACUAUGGAGUCAGUUCUGACUAGAGCUGAAAGGGUUCUGGCCUCCAAAUCUUUCAAGACAACAACCAUAUCCCAGCCCCAACUAUUCUCUUUUUCAGGCUAAGCCUUAUUUUCCUAAAUCAAUACUCAUAAGUGGACCUCCUGCUUGGCAUCUUUAAAUACAAAUCAGUUUAUCAAUGACCUUCUCAAAAAUAACACCCAGGACUGGACUCAAUACUCCAGGUGUCAUAUGCUGAGGGCAGAGAACAGCAGGACUUUCAUUUCUCUUCUGAUCACCAAACCUUCCAUCUUUUAGCUUGAGAAAAACUUUCUCAGAAGUAAAAUUACAUUCUUGAUGGCUAUAAGAGUUAUAUUAAUCACAAUACCUUCAGCCUUUUUCUUAUGAGUAAACCCUUCCUUUGAA